rnacentral:rRNA from 1 species
GAUGAACGCUGGCGGCGUGCCUAAUACAUGCAAGUCGAACGCAUAGCGAAAGGUGCUUGCACCUUUCAAGUGAGUGGCGAACGGGUGAGUAACACGUGGACAACCUGCCUCAAGGCUGGGGAUAACAUUUGGAAACAGAUGCUAAUACCGAAUAAAACUUAGUGUCGCAUGACACAAAGUUAAAAGGCGCUUCGGCGUCACCUAGAGAUGGAUCCGCGGUGCAUUAGUUAGUUGGUGGGGUAAAGGCCUACCAAGACAAUGAUGCAUAGCCGAGUUGAGAGACUGAUCGGCCACAUUGGGACUGAGACACGGCCCAGACUCCUACGGGAGGCUGCAGUAGGGAAUCUUCCACAAUGGGCGAAAGCCUGAUGGAGCAACGCCGCGUGUGUGAUGAAGGCUUUCGGGUCGUAAAGCACUGUUGUAUGGGAAGAACAGCUAGAAUAGGAAAUGAUUUUAGUUUGACGGUACCAUACCAGAAAGGGACGGCUAAAUACGUG